rnacentral:lncRNA from 10 species
AGAGUUUUAGUUGCCUGUCUCUGCUAUUCUGCGUCCUCCACCUCGGGAGCCCCAGGAGGGGAUUGUAGCAUAUUCCUAAUGGAGCACCAAGGUGAUGUGACACUGCUGCCUGGUCCCUGCCCUCAGAGAAGAUUGUGACAUAUCACUGCCCCGAAACCCAGGUGUGAUUGUUACAUACACCUCUGCCCAGCACCUGAGUGAUUUGACUCUUCUGCUUGGGCCCAGCGUACAGAUGGGAUUGUGCCGCAUUGCUGGACCCAGCACUUAGGUGAUGACAGAAUUGUAACAUAUCCCUGGCUGAGCACUCAGGUGAUGUGACACUCCUGCUUGGCUUCUUCCCUCAGCAGAUUAUGAGAUAUCCAUGGCUGAAAUCCAGGGGGAAUUGUGACAUAUCACUUGGCCCAGUACCAAGCAAGUGUGACUGUUCUAUUCAUCAUAAGUCCUGCUUUCAAGGGAGAUUGGGACAUAUUGUGGGGCUCAACACCAAUGUGACAUUACUGUUUUGCCUUGGCCCAGACCUUAAAGGCACUGUGACGUAUUGCUCGGCUCAGCAACAAGGUGACGAGAGAUCCUGUGUGGACAUUGACAACAGAGAGCAUUGUGACAUAUCUUUGGGAGCAUCAGCUAUUUGAUGUGACUCUCCUUUUAUACCAAGGCUUUGCUCAUAGGGGAGACCGUGAUGUAUCUUCUGGCCCAGAAAUCAGGCGAUGUGUUUCUCCUGCCUGAGCUUUGCUCACAGGGAGCAUUGUGACAUAUCACUGAGCCCAGCACCCAGGUGAUGGGACUCUACUGCCUGUCCCCUGCUUUCAGGAGGAAAUUGUAACAUAUCUCUGACCAAGCACCCAGGUGAUAAGUCUUCUGCCUGGUGCCUGUUCUCAGGGAAGAUUGUGACAUAUCCCUGGCCCAGCAACCAGAUGAUGCAGAUGACGUAUCUCUCCUGCUCACUCUCUAUCCACAGGUUCUGCCCACAAAGGAGAUUGUGGCAUACUGCUGGGCCUAACACUAAGGUGAUGUUACUUCUCUGCUUUGGCUAUGUCCUUAGAAGGCAUUGAGACACACUGCUGGGCCCAGCACCAAGAUGAUGUGAGUCCUCUGCCUGAACCCUGACCACAGGGAGCAUUGUGACAUAUUUCUUGACCCACUGCAAUCUCUCCUAUGGACAAAGCCCAGGUGUUAUGACUCUCGUCUUUUCACUGGAACCUGCCAAAAAGGGUGAUUGUGACAUAUCACUGGACCCAGCACCUUGGUGAUGUGACUCUCCUCUCCUCCUUAGGCCCUGCUUACAUUGUGUCUGUUGAAAUACGGCUGGUCCAACACCUAGGUGGGGGAUUGUGACCCUAUCACUGGACCCAGCACAUAAGUAAUAUGAGUUUCCUGCAUAGGCUCUGUUCAGAAGGGUAUUAUGACAUAUCUUUUUGUUCAUCACUUUGUGACUUGUCUUUUGACUGGAACCUGCCAAAAAGGGUGAUUGUGACAUAUUGCUGGACCCAGCACCUAGGUGAUGUGGCUCUCCUUUUUUUCUGGGCCUCACAUAUUUUGGGUAUUGUGAUGUAUAGCUGGGCUCAACACCUAGCAGUUGGGGAGCUCCUUUCUUGACCAUUCCCACAAAUGACAUAUCUCUGCUAUGACCGCCUAUGACACAUGACCUAAAUAUGUGACCCUUCUUUUCUGCCUGUACCCUGCUAACAGAGAAGAUUGUGACAAAUUGCUAAGUGCAUUGUAUCUUGUGCUAACCUUCUAUCUCAGCCUGUGACCAAGAAUGCCUAACUGCCGGGGAAUGCAGCCCUGUAGGUCUCAACCUCAAUUUGCCCAGCCACUAUUCAAAAUAGAGUCACUCUGGUUUAAAUGCCUCUGACAUUAAGAUACACUGUAAAAUUAUGAAAAAAGUUGAUUUGAAUUUUAGCAAAUGAGAAAUGAAAUAAUUAGAAUGGGCUAUUCUGAAAGAUAUAGCAUUAGUUAUAUUUGUGUUUGAGUUUUCUAUUAACCUAUAUUUGUUACUUAUGAAUAGAUACCUUGUUUUAUUCUGUCUAAACAGAUACACUAGGUGGGGUGCGGUGGCCAUGCCUGUAAUCCCAGCACUUUGGGAGGCCGAGGGGAGUGGAUCACCUGAGGUCAGGAAUUUGGGACAAGCCUGACCAACAUGGCAAAACCCUGUCUCUACUAAAAAUACAAAAAUCAGCUGACCAUGGUGGCGGGUGCCUGUAAUCCCAGCUACUUCAGAGGCUGAGGCAGGAGAAUUGCUUGAACCCGAGAGGUGGAGGUUGCAGUGAGCCAAGAUCAUGCCACUGCAUUCCACCCUGGGUGACAGAGCGAGACUCUGUCUCAAAAAAUAAGAAAAAAUAAGCGGCCGGGCAUGCUGGCUCACGCCUGUAAUCCCAACACUUUGGGAGGCCGAGGAGGGUGGAUCGCAAGGUCAGGAGUUCAAGACCAGCCUGGCCAAGAUGGUGAAACCCUGUCUCUACUAAAAAUACAAAAAUUAGCCACGUGUGUUGGCAGGUGCCUGUAAUCCCAGCUACUCGGGAGGCUGAGGCAGAGAAUUGCUUGAACCCAGGAGGCAGAGUUUGCAGUGAGCCGAGAUCUCACCAUUGCACUCCAGCCUGGGUGACAGAGGGAGAUUCUGUCUCAAAAAAAAAAAAAGGACAUAAAUUUAAUGUUAAGUGUGGACUCAUAAAGAAUCUAGACAGCCACCAAGCCAUUUGUUUAUUCUUGAUUUCUUAAAGCUUCCAUUAUUAAAAGCUCUGCAUUCCAUUACUCAUCACAGAAAAUAAUCUAAAUUAAAUAUGAAUUAAGUUUGUGUGUGUGUGUGUGUGUGUGUGUGUGUGUGUGUGUGUGUGUGGUGAUUAUUCUAAAUUACUAAACAGAUUAAGGCCAAUUUUUUUAUGUCAAACAUAUAAUUCUGAGAAACAAUCAAUACUUUAUGUACAUUUCUGUUACCUAAUAGGCUAUUUAAGCAUUUAUACAGAAAUUUUAUACAGUUGUCAUUUUUAAUGCAUGUUUUCUGAUAGUAUAAAAGCUUUCUCAUGCAAGAAGGCUG